UACAGAGGUCCCAAGCGUUGUUCGGAUUCAUUGGGCGUAAAGGGUGCGUAGGCGGCGCGGUAAGUCGGGUGUGAAAUCUCGGGGCUUAACUCCGAAACUGCAUUCGAUACUGCCGUGCUUGAGGACUGGAGAGGAGACUGGAAUUUACGGUGUAGCGGUGAAAUGCGUAGAUAUCGUAAGGAAGACCAGUGGCGAAGGCGGGUCUCUGGACAGUUCCUGACGCUGAGGCGCGAAAGCCAGGGGAGCAAACGGG
rnacentral:rRNA from 1 species